AUUGAACGCUGGCGGCAUGCUUUACACAUGCAAGUCGAACGGUAACAGGCCUUCGGGUGCUGACGAGUGGCGAACGGGUGAGUAAUGCAUCGGAACGUGCCCAGAGGUGGGGGAUAACGCAGCGAAAGCUGUGCUAAUACCGCAUGUGAUCUGAGGAUGAAAGCGGGGGACCAGGCAGCAAUGUUUGGCCUCGCGCCUUUGGAGCGGCCGAUGUCAGAUUAGGUAGUUGGUGGGGUAAAGGCCUACCAAGCCGACGAUCUGUAGCUGGUCUGAGAGGACGACCAGCCACACUGGGACUGAGACACGGCCCAGACUCCUACGGGAGGCAGCAGUGGGGAAUUUUGGACAACGGGCGCAAGCCUGAUCCAGCAAUGCCGCGUGCGGGAAAAAGGCCUUCGGGCUGUAAACCGCUUUUGUACGGAACGAAAAGGCUCUGGCUAAUACCUGGGGCUGAUGACGGUACCGGAAGAAUAAGCACCGGCUAACUACGUG
rnacentral:rRNA from 1 species